GAUGAACGCUAGCGGCAGGCCUAAUACAUGCAAGUCGAACGAGAUUGUUGUAGCAAUAUGACAUGAAGGUGGCGCACGGGUGCGUAACACGUAUGCAAUCUACCUUUGAUAGGGGAAUAGCUUCGAGAAAUCGGAAUUAAUACCCCACAACAUAUUCGAGUGGCAUCACUUGAUUAUCAAACCUCCGGGGAUCAAAGAUGAGCAUGCGCGACAUUAGCUAGUUGGUGAGGUAACGGCUCACCAAGGCUACGAUGUUUAGGGGGUCUGAGAGGAUGAUCCCCCACACUGGUACUGGGACACGGACCAGACUCCUACGGGAGGCAGCAGUAGGGAAUAUUGGUCAAUGGAGGCAACUCUGAACCAGCCAUGCCGCGUGCAGGAUGACGGCCCUCUGGGUUGUAAACUGCUUUUAUACGGGAAGAAAAAGAGCUACGUGUAGCUUAUUGACGGUACCGUAAGAAUAAGGAUCGGCUAACUCCGUGCCAGCCGCCGCCGUAAAAC
rnacentral:rRNA from 1 species